rnacentral:rRNA from 1 species
UUUUAAUAAUUAAUUAAAAUGAAUAUUUUAAUUAAUUAUUUUAUUGGGGUGAUUAUAAAAUUAAUUAAACUUUUAUGAUUAUAAUCAUAGAUUUAUGAAUUAAUUAGUAUUUAUUUUAUAAUAAAUGAGAUUAAAU